GCCCCAGGGCUACUGUGGCUACUAACUAUCUGAGGGAUGCUGGACAGUCACAUUCUGGUGCUCCCACGCUCCAACAGCAGGAGUUUGACCCGUCUGGUCCAGAAAGUUGUGUUCGACUUCCUAAUAAUGACAACACCCAGCUGUCCAUUUGGAACAAGGUAAAUGGGUGUGUGCUCAUUAAUCUAGGAGUGCGUGAUGGAGUUGAGUGGUCGGCCAAGCUGCUGAAUGUCUAAGCAGGCUGCUGUACAUUUGAUUUAUCGUUGGGACCGUGCAUUAGGAGCCAUUCAUAGCCAUUAGCCCGGACAGCUAAGGACGGCUCCGCCUCCUGCAGCCGAAGCUUUCUUUGCAGCUCGGGACAUUCUGUCCAGAAUGGGACAUCUGAAAGUGGCGUG